rnacentral:rRNA from 1 species
GAUGAACGCUGGCGGCGUGCCUAAUACAUGCAAGUCGAGCGAACAGACGAGGAGCUUGCUCCUCUGACGUUAGCGGCGGACGGGUGAGUAACACGUGGAUAACCUACCUAUAAGACUGGGAUAACUUCGGGAAACCGGAGCUAAUAUCUGAUAAUAUAUUGAACCGCAUGGUUCAAUAGUGAAAGACGGUUUUGCUGUCACUUAUAGAUGGAUCCGCGCCGCAUUAGCUAGUUGGUAAGGUAACGGCUUACCAAGGCAACGAUGCGUAGCCGACCUGAGAGGGUGAUCGGCCACACUGGAACUGAGACACGGUCCAGACUCCUACGGGAGGCAGCAGUAGGGAAUCUUCCGCAAUGGGCGAAAGCUUGACGGAGCAACGCCGCGUGAGUGAUGAAGGUCUUCGGAUCGUAAAACUCUGUUAUUAGGGAAGAACAAAUGUGUAAGUAACUAUGCACGUCUUGACGGUACCUAAUCAGAAAGCCACGGCUAACUACGUG